rnacentral:rRNA from 1 species
GAUGAACGCUGGCGGCGUGCCUAAUACAUGCAAGUCGAGCGAAUGGAUUAAGAGCUUGCUCUUAUGAAGCUAGCGGCGGACGGGUGAGUAACACGUGGGUAACCUGCCCAUAAGACUGGGAUAACUCCGGGAAACCGGGGCUAAUACCGGAUAACAUUUUGAACCGCAUGGUUCGAAAUUGAAAGGCGGCUUCGGCUGUCGCUUAUGGAUGGACCCGCGUCGCAUUAGCUAGUAGGUGAGGUAACGGCUCACCAAGGCAACGAUGCGUAGCCGACCUGAGAGGGUGAUCGGCCACACUGGGACUGAGACACGGCCCAGACUCCUACGGGAGGCAGCAGUAGGGAAUCUUCCGCAAUGGACGAAAGUCUGACGGAGCAACGCCGCGUGAGUGAUGAAGGCUUUCGGGUCGUAAAACUCUGUUGUUAGGGAAGAACAAGUGCUAGUUGAAUAAGCUGGCACCUUGACGGUACCUAACCAGAAAGCCACGGCUAACUACGUGCCAGCAGCCGCCGUAA